UACGAAGGGGGCGAGCGUUGUUCGGAUUUACUGGGCGUAAAGGGCGCGCAGGCGGCUCAUUUUGUCAGGCGUGAAAGCCCCGGGCUUAACCUGGGAACUGCGUUUGAUACUGAUGGGCUAGAGUUCGGGAGAGGAGAGUGGAAUUCCCAGUGUAGAGGUGAAAUUCGUAGAUAUUGGGAAGAACACCGGUGGCGAAGGCGGCUCUCUGGACCGAGACUGACGCUGAGGAGCGAAAGCCAGGGGAGCAAACGGG
rnacentral:rRNA from 1 species